UGGGGAAUAUUGGACAAUGGGCGCAAGCCUGAUCCAGCCAUGCCGCGUGUGUGAUGAAGGCCUUAGGGUUGUAAAGCACUUUCGCCGAUGACGAUAAUGACUGUAGUCGGAGAAGAAGCCUCGGUUAACUUCGUGCCAGCAGCCGCGGUAAUACGAAGGGGGCAAGCGUUGUUCGGAGUUACUGGGCGUAAAGCGUACGUAGGCGGAUGAUUAAGUCAGGGGUGAAAUCCCGGGGCUCAACCUCGGAACUGCCUUUGAUACUGGUCGUCUUGGGUCCGGGAGAGGUGAGUGGAACUCCUAGUGUAGAGGUGAAAUUCGUAGAUAUUAGGAAGAACACCAGUGGCGAAGGCGGCUCACUGGCCCGAAACUGACGCUGGGGUACGAAAGCGUGGAGAGCAAACA
rnacentral:rRNA from 1 species